rnacentral:rRNA from 1 species
UCCUCCCUCUUUCGUCGUGCUUAACACAUGCAAGUCGAACGGAAAGGCCCUGCUUUUGUGGGGUGCUCGAGUGGCGAACGGGUGAGUAACACGUGAGUAACCUGCCCUUGACUUUGGGAUAACUUCAGGAAACUGGGGCUAAUACCGGAUAGGAGCUCCUGCUGCAUGGUGGGGUUGGAAAGUUUCGGCGGUUGGGGAUGGACUCGCGGCUUAUCAGCUUGUUGGUGGGGUAGUGGCUUACCAAGGCUUUGACGGGUAGCCGGCCUGAGAGGGUGACCGGCCACAUUGGGACUGAGAUACGGCCCAGACUCCUACGGGAGGCAGCAGUGGGGAAUAUUGCACAAUGGGCGGAAGCCUGAUGCAGCAACGCCGCGUGCGGGAUGACGGCCUUCGGGUUGUAAACCGCUUUCGCCUGUGACGAAGCGUGAGUGACGGUAAUGGGUAAAGAAGCACCGGCUAACUACGUG